UUCUUUUGUUGUCAUUUGACAAGUUUUUUUUAUUUUAAAGUCUCCUUUGUGGCUUUAUAUAUGAUGCCUUGUCAAAGAUGUGUGCUCAAACUCAAGGGGCAUAAAUGAAGCUAUAUGAGCUUUGUGUAUAUUCAUGCAACGUGUUUUUUUUUUAUUUACCUUUUUUGAUUUAGAAACUUAGUCGUGAAUGUUUUGUAGUAGAAGUAACAUGAAACCUAGCAACGUAAUAUUAUCGUUGAAAUCACUUUCCUCCUAAAUCCCAAAUCGGGGUUCAAUGCGUCAAGACUCGAGCUAGGGGGCUGCCCAUCCAAGGAACAAGCUUUGAAGUGUACAGAACAAGCCCCACAAGCUCCAAAACUGUUCACUGUUCAUCCGCGUUCACUGUUCAUCCGCCCUUUGCAAGGGUUUUUUAGUCAUUUGUAAUAAGUUAACCUAGGUAUAAAUAGAACCUCAUUAGGUCAUUUUUGGGAGAUUUUUGGAAAAUAUAUUUUGUAGCCUCUUUGAGAGUCUUUAGCAAGGUGGAAUCCUUGGACAAGGUGGAAUCCUUGUGUUGAUCAUUUGCUUAGAAACGGAGAUUACUUGAAAAUUCCGAUUCCCUUGAGGUCACGUAAGAGAUAGGUUUAGGUUGUGUGUGAUAUUAAAGGUCCAAAAGUGGAAUAAGCUUUUGGGUUGUUAAUAUUAUACCAUCCCUUUGUCUAUCUAUCUAUCUUUACUUUCUUGUAAUCGUUUGUCUAUAUCUAGUGUAAUCCGUUUGUGUUCUUGUCUUGUAACCAUGUGUUGUUGUUAUUGCAUCUUGUUCAUCAAGUGUUGUUGCUGUUU
rnacentral:lncRNA from 1 species